GGCUUUAUGGGAAAAGCUGAACUCAAAGUCACAGUCUCCAAAGUUCUAAUGUAUUACCUUUAACCCGGACUAUAUCAAACUGGCCUUCAAUGGUUUGCUUUAAUACCCUCCUCCAGGGUGAAGAAAUGAUCAUCACAAAGUUGCUACAUCAGACUUGCAGAGGAAACAGAAACGGGAGACUGGCAUUCAGUUAUGAGCUUUGCAGUGCACUCUUCCAGCACAGGUAGAAAGAUGGCAGGGCCACCUAACUCCACAAGGAUUCAAGGCAGCUUACACAUAAAAAAUAAAACUAAAAACAAGAGAACCAGAAGACAAAACCCAAAAUACCUAAGAACAAAAAACCAAAUCAAAGGAGCUCAACCACCAUCCUAAUCCAAGGCAUGAGAGAACAACCAAAUUUUAUGCAGUUUGUUCAAUGUUGAGUGGGAGUGUUAUAAAUUUAUAGGGGGCAUUUUUCCUCAAGGCAAG